CCUACGGGAGACAGCAGUGGGGAAUAUUGCACAAUGGGGGAAACCCUGAUGCAGCGACGCCGCGUGAGUGAAGAAGGAAUUCGUUAUGUAAAGCUCUAUCAGCAGGGAAGAAAAUGACGGUACCUGAGUAGGAAGCCCCGGCUAACUACGUGCCAGCAGCCGCGGUAAUACGGAGGGGGCAAGCGUUAUCCGGAUUUACUGGGUGUAAAGGGAGCGUAGACGGCAGUGCAAGUCUGGAGUGAAAGGCGGGGGCUCAACCCCCGGACUGCUCUGGAAACUGUACGGCUGGAGUGCAGGAGAGGUAAGUGGAAUUCCUGGUGUAGCGGUGAAAUGCGUAGAUAUUAGGAGGAACCCCAGUGGCGAAGGCGGCUUACUGGACCGUAACUGACGUUGAGGCUCGAAAGCGUGGGGAGCGAACAGGAUUAGAUACCCCAGUAGUC
rnacentral:rRNA from 1 species